rnacentral:lncRNA from 1 species
UUCAAGUGAACCGUGCCCAUGGAGGUUCAAGAGAUCAGCUCGGAUCUCUUGUUUGUAAGCAAACCUCUUAACCCUUAAUAAGAGCUUGUGUCUUUAUUUAUUGUGCUGUGAGUGGUGUCUAGAGUCCCAGAAUCUCAUGUUUUGUUUAUUGCAUUGUCUUGAGUGUUGUCAUAGCUUGAAUCAUCAUGGAUGUGUUGUAGAAUUGAGUAGAAUGUCUCUGCUGCUUGCAUCAUGAUUGAUAAGUUCUUUUGCAUACAUAAGCAUAUCUCAUACUGUCUAAGUUCAAUCCUAGUGUUAUCUGAUGCUAUUGCCUAUGUUUAAUC